rnacentral:rRNA from 1 species
CUGCGUACCUUUUGUAUAAUGGGUCAGCGACUUAUAUUCUGUAGCAAGGUUAACCGAAUAGGGGAGCCGAAGGGAAACCGAGUCUUAACUGGGCGUUAAGUUGCAGGGUAUAGACCCGAAACCCGGUGAUCUAGCCAUGGGCAGGUUGAAGGUUGGGUAACACUAACUGGAGGACCGAACCGACUAAUGUUGAAAAAUUAGCGGAUGACUUGUGGCUGGGGGUGAAAGGCCAAUCAAACCGGGAGAUAGCUGGUUCUCCCCGAAAGCUAUUUAGGUAGCGCCUCGUGAAUUCAUCUCCGGGGGUAGAGCACUGUUUCGGCAAGGGGGUCAUCCCGACUUACCAACCCGAUGCAAACUGCGAAUACCGGAGAAUGUUAUCACGGGAGACACACGGCGGGUGCUAACGUCCGUCGUGAAGAGGGAAACAACCCAGACCGCCAGCUAAGGUCCCAAAGUCAUGGUUAAGUGGGAAACGAUGUGGGAAGGCCCAGACAGCCAGGAUGUUGGCUUAGAAGCAGCCAUCAUUUAAAGAAAGCGUAAUAGCUCACUGGUCGAGUCGGCCUGCGCGGAAGAUGUAACGGGGCUAAACCAUGCACCGAAGCUGCGGCAGCGACACUAUGUGUUGUUGGGUAGGGGAGCG